rnacentral:lncRNA from 10 species
CUGGUACAGAGACUUUAUCUUUCACACAGACUUCAAAUAUCUUUGGGAAUUUGUGCUCCUUAUUUACUGAGUGCUUGAGAAGAAAAGACAAAGCCAGUGGAAUGGUCCGAGUGUGGCAUCCGCUGCAUUUAUAAAGAAUAAGAGCUGCAGUGGGUGUGAUUCUUGGACAGAGUGGCGCUCAUCCUUGUUCCUGCAAUGAAGGACAUGCCAGCCUCCAGGCUCUUUGACAGAUGAUUGGAACUGUGCAAAUAUUAUGGAAGAUACCCCGUGUCAAGAAGCUGACAGCACACACGUUUGGGAAGGAUUUAGUGGCUGAAGCACUUCUAGAAGACAUCACCAAAAUGAAACAGUCUACUAUCAGCAAAGAAUGCCAGAGCAAGAGUGUGAAACAGAGAGCACAGAGCCGUGAUGCUGCCCCCUGCCGGUGGUGCAGGAGAAAGGACGCAACCUCAGUCUACGACUCCUGCCAAGAUUAUCAGCCACGCUAGAAACUAAAGGGUGAAAACAGGGUUUCUCUGCUGCAAUUCCAUCUCUUCCUCUAGAAACUUGUCGUAGGAAUGACUCCCUGUAACUUCCCACACCUGCCUCUUCUUUCUGUAAGUGUUGGCUAACAGAAUCCCCUCCUUCCUCGGUCCUUGCUAAGUGACUGAAUUCAGAAACUCCUGGACAAUAUUACAACCAUCCGUAUUACUGGUCUUUGGCGCUCUAGACUUAUUUUAGAAAGAAAAAUGUGGCAAAUCAUCCAAGAAUUUUCCUGUGCACAGCAUAGGGAUCUGUUUCUCUUACCAUCAGAAAGGGAUUCAUAGUCAUAAUCAUAUUCGUCCUCCUCAUCUUCCUCUUCCUCAUUAUUGGCAGGUCGGGGGUUGGCAUUCCCACCAUUAUAAGCCUGCACUUGCAUAGAUGCUAACUGAUGAGCCUGUAAAAUAGCAAUAAUUGUAAACUGCAGAUGCCAAGUUAAUGAAUUCAUUUAUAACCUUUAAAACUACCCCUGAUGUUUAACACAAUCGUUAAAAGUGGCUUAACCUAUUUUGAUACAUUUGGGAGAGGAGAAAAAAAUCUAGAUUCCCUCGAAAUGCAAUGUCAACACUUGGGUGAACGUUAGCAUUCCUACAGGAAGAAUCCUGGAGCUUUUAUAAACAAUCUCCAGAAGACUGUGUGCAGUGCCCAGCUAGCCAGGUUCCCAGGACAACCCCUCCAAGAGAAAGCUUUGGUGAUUUGGAGAACCAGCAUCAAUCCCAAGUGACUGAAGAAGUGAAUCACCCAUCAAUUUUUCAGAAGUAUGUCUCUGUUAAGAAACCAUUUUUUCCCCUUCUUAAAAUAAUAUCUACAGGCUCCUGACCUUGAGAACAAUAUUAGAAUCCCUAUGGACAAAGAGGCCAAAAGAAUUGUUGUUGGUUUAAAUAAAAUU